rnacentral:rRNA from 1 species
UUCGCCCUUUUCCGGUUGAUCCUGCCGGACCUGACUGCUAUCGGAUUGAUACUGAGCCAUGCGAGUCAUUGUAGCAAUACAAGGCAGACGGCUCAGUAACGCGUAGUCAACCUAACCUAUGGACGGGAAUAACCUCGGGAAACUGAGAAUAAUGCCCGAUAGAACACUAUACCUGGAAUGGUUUGUGUUCCAAAUGAUUUAUCGCCGUAGGAUGGGACUGCGGCCUAUCAGUUUGUUGGUGAGGUAAUGGCCCACCAAGACUAUUACAGGUACGGGCUCUGAGAGGAGUAGCCCGGAGAUGGGUACUGAGACACGGACCCAGGCCCUAUGGGGCGCAGCAGGCGAGAAAACUUUGCAAUGUGCGAAAGCACGACAAGGUUAAUCCGAGUGAUUUGUGCUAAACGAAUCUUUUGUU